UAUGCCCUGGGGUGUUUGCCAGUCGACAAGUCCUUGAGCCGAUAAUUUUUAACCAGGAGGGUGCAAGCCGAUACGGUGUGCAUGUCCGCACGACGGAAAGCCUAAUGUAUCGCUGAGCCCCCCACCUUGAACCAUUGGGUUCAAGGCCACGUUAACAGCGGCACCUCCGGGGACACA
rnacentral:other from 1 species